GCGCCUGUAGCUCAAUUGGACAGAGCAACGGACUUCUAAUCCGUGGGUUGGAGGUUCGAGUCCUCUCAGGCGCGCCA
rnacentral:tRNA from 1 species